ensembl:Y_RNA Y_RNA Y RNA
GGCUGGUCUAAAGGUAGUGCGUUAUCUCAAUGGAUUGUUCACCGUUACAGAUUGAAGUCCUGAUCUAUACUUUCCCCUUCUCACUACUGCACUUGACUAGAGAUAA